CGAGCCGGGCGGACGGCCGCGUGGAGUGCCCCUAGCGGGAACUCCCCGAGGAACGUCCGGGCUCCACAGGGCAGGGUGAUGGCUAACGGCCACCCGGGGUGACCCGCGGGACAGUGCCACAGAAAACAGACCGCCCAGCACUUCGGUGCGGGGUAAGGGUGAAACGGUGGUGUAAGAGACCACCAGCGCCUGAGGUGACUCCCGGCUCGUCUGCCACUAGAGGCUCCUGGUCGGCAAAGUUGCUGGUCAGGGGCUAUUUUUAUAGAUUGGGCGGCUUGGUCCUGCCCCGUUCCGUACCGGUUCGAACC
rnacentral:RNase_P_RNA from 1 species